AGCCGCGGUAAUACGGAGGGCGCUAGUGUUGUUCGGAAUUACUGGGCGUAAAGCGCACGUAGGCGGAUGGACAUGUCAGAGGUGAUAUCCCGGGGCUCAACCCGGGAACUGCCUUUGAAACUGUCUGUCUGGAGGUCGGGAGAGGUGAGUGGAAUUCCGAGUGUAGAGGUGAAAUUGGUAGAUAUGGGGAGGAACACCGGUGGGGAAGGCGCCUCACUGGCCCUAUUCUGACGCUGAGGUGCGAAAGCGUGGGGAGCAAACAGGAUUAGAUACCUCUGGUAGUCCACGCCCUAAACGAUGAAUGCCAGACGUCGGGCAGCAUGCUGUUCGGUGUCGCACCUAACGCAUUAAGCACUCCGCCUGGGGAGUACGGCCGCAAGGUUAAAACUCAA
rnacentral:rRNA from 1 species